CGGUGUUCAACUGGCGUGUCCGCGGGACGUCCUGCCGGUGGGCUUAGCCCGCAAGGGCGGCCCAACUUCAAAUCCCAUCGCGGUGCUCUUCACUGAGUGUCGAGGUGGGCCGGCACGUUUACUUUGGACAAAUUAGAGUGCUUAAAGCAGGCUAAAACUUCGCCUGAAUACUGUGUGCAUGGAAUAAUGGAAUAGGACCUCGGUUCUAUUUUGUUGGUUUUCGGAACCCCGAGGUAAUGAUUAAUAGGAACGGAUGGGGGCAUUCGUAUUGCGACGUUAGAGGUGAAAUUCUUGGAUCGUCGCAAGACGGACAGAAGCGAAAGCAUUUGCCAAAAACGCUUUCAUUGAUCAAGAACGAAAGUUAGAGGUUCGAAGGCGAUCAGAUACCGCCCUAGUUCUAACCAUAAACGAUGCCAGCUAGCGAUCCGUCGACGUUCCUCCGAUGACUCGACGGGCAGCUUCCGGGAAACCAAAGCUUUUGGGUUCCGGGGGAAGUAUGGUUGCAAAGCUGAAACUUAAAGGAAUUGACGGAAGGGCACCACCAGGAGUGGAGCCUGCGGCUUAAUUUGACUCAACACGGGAAACCCCACCAGGCCCGGACACCGGAAGGAUUGACAGAUUGAGAGCUCUUUCUUGAUUCGGUGGGUGGUGGUGCAUGGCCGUUCUUAGUUGGUGGAGCGAUUUGUCUGGUUAAUUCCGAUAACGAACGAGACUCUAGCCUGCUAACUAGGCGUAUUUUCGACAUCUCAAAGGUCCGUCGUCCCGGCCCUCGGGUCGUGGGCGUGCGCGAUUUUUACUGUCGGCGUACUAUCAAUUCUUCUUAGAGGGACAGGUGGCUUCUAGCCGCACGAGAUUGAGCAAUAACAGGUCUGUGAUG
rnacentral:rRNA from 1 species